rnacentral:lncRNA from 1 species
GUUAGAAUACAGUGGCAUCUAUACAUUAUCGUCAGAAUACAGUGGCAUCUAUACAUUACUGUUAGAAUACAGUGGCAUCUAUACAUUAUCGUCAGAAUACAGUGGCAUCUAUACAUUACUGUUAGAAUACAGUGGCAUCUAUACAUUACCAUCAGAAUACAGUGGCAUCGAUACAUUACUGUUAGAAUACAGUGGCAUCUAUACAUUACUGUCAGAAUAUAGUGUCAUCUAUACAUUACCAUCAGAAUACAGUGGCAUCUAUAAAUUACUGUCAGAAUACAGUGUCAUCUAUACAUUACUGUCUGUCUGUCAUGUCCCUGUCAGUCUGUCAUGUCAGUCUGUCUAUCAUGUCUGUCAUGUCCCUGUCUGUCAUGUCUCUGUCAGUCAGUCUGUCAUGUCCUUGUCUGUCUGUCAGUCUGUCUGUCAGUCUGUCUGUCAUGUCCCUGUCUGUCAUGUCUCUGUCAGUCAGUCUGUCAUGUCCCUGUCUGUCUGUCAGUCUGUCUGUCAGUCUGCCUGUCAUGUCUCUGUCAGUCUGCCUGUCAUGUCUCUGUCAGUCUGUCUGUCAUGUCCCUGUCUGUCAUGUCCCUGUCUGUCUGUCAGUCUGUCUGUCAUGUCCCUGUCUGUCAGGUCGCUGUCAGUCUGUCUGUCAUGUUUCUGUCAGUCUGUCUGUCAUGUUGCUGUCAGUCUGUCUGUCAGUCUGUCUGUCAUGUCCCUGUCAGUCUGUCUGUCAUGUUGCUGUCAGUCUGUCUGUCAUGUCCUGUCAGUCUGUCUGUCAUGUCGCUGUCAGUCUGUCCCUGUCAGUCUGUCUGUCCGUCUGUCAGUCUGUCUGUCAUGUUGCUGUCAGUCUGUCUGUCAUGUCGCUGUCAGUCUGUCUGUCAUGUCGCUGUCAGUCUGUCUGUCAUGUUGCUGUCAGUCAGUCUGUCAUGUCAGUCUGUCUGUCAUGUCCCUGUCAGUCUGUCUGUCCGUCUGUCAGUCUGUCUGUCAUGUCCCUGUCUGUCAUGUCACUGUCAGUCUGUCUGUCAUGUCCCUGUCAGUCUGUCAGUCUGUCUGUCAGUCUGUCUGUCUGUCUGUCUGUCUGUCAGUCUGUCUGUCAUGUCCCUGUCUGUCUGUCUGUCUGUCUGUCUGUCUGUCUGUCUGUCUGUCUGUCUGUCUGUCUGUCUGUCUGUCUGUCUGCGUCCCAAAUGGAACCUUAUUGAUUGAGUGAUUUUAUUUGACGGUUGAAUAAAAGCCCAAUCCAGACAAUACAUUUUCAAUUGUGUCUAUGAAAACACUGACUGUUUUCGAUUUGUAGUUCCUUAAAGUGCAGGGUGCAGUAACGUGGCCAACCACAGGCUGCAAUUUGGAACGCUGCCUCUGUCAUUGUGCAGGAUCUACCUACCCAGGUGAGGACGACGACGAAGGUGAUGAUGGUGCUGUAGAAGAGUAGCGCCCCACAUCCAACCAAUAACACACACAGAAGGAGGGGUUUAGGAUCCUCCACACAACUCUGAUUGGCUAGCGGAUAGUGGGGUUUCAGACACUGCUUCUCUGGGAACCAAUCAGAACACACAAGAAGCCAGUAAUUAGAACUACGAUCUGGGACCAGGCUAGGAUAGUAUGGUUCUGUUAUAGAUCUGGGACCAGGCUAGGAUAGUAUGGUUCUGUUAUAGAUCUGGGACCAGGCUAGGAUAGUAUGGUUCUGUUAUAGAUCUGGGACCAGGCUAGGAUAGUAUGGUUCUGUAAUAGAUCUGGGACCAGGCUAGGAUAGUAUGGUUCUGUUACAGAUCUGGGACCAGGCUAGGAUUUUAUGGUUCUGUUAUAGAUCUGGGACGAGGCUAGGAUAGUAUGGUUCUGUUAUAGAUCUGGGACCAGGCUAGGAUAGUAUGGUUCUGUUAUAGAUCUGGGACCAGGCUAGGAUAGUAUGGUUCUGUUAGUGGUGUUGAUCUGGGACCAGGCUAGGAUAGUAUGGUUCUGUUAUAG